rfam:Lactobacillus mixtipabuli DNA, scaffold: sequence14, strain: IWT30.
GGGGAUGUUAAGGAUUCGACAGGUAUAGGUCGAACUCAGACUGCGCUUCGUAGCGAGGGUCUACGUAAAAAACCUCACCUAAUUUUUAACUGCAAAUAACAGUUCAAAAUCUCUUGCAUUAGCUGCCUAAUAAGCGCUAAGUAAGGAUCCGCCUAAUCUCGCCCAUGGGUUUGAUACGGGUCUUAAAUGAAGUGGGCUUACGCUGCUGGCUCCCAUCUGAAGUCGUCAGAAGAGAUCAAUCAGGUUAGCUGUUCAUGUUUGGCCCUGACAGGCGGCGAAUUGAUCAGCGAAUUUAAAAUAGUCUGAAUAUAAGCGUAGAGGUUUGGGUGGCGAUAUGCUUGGACGCGGGUUCGACUCCCGCCAUCUCCAUUU